CUGCGGAGGAUACUGUCCAGCUUGGGGGCGGGAGAGGCCGACGGUAUUCCCGGGGUAGGGGUGAAAUCCUAUAAUCCCGGGAAGACCACCAGUGGCGAAGGCUGUCGGCUAGAACGCGCCCGACGGUGAGGGAUGAAAGCUGGGGGAGCGAACCGGAUUAGAUACCCGGGUAGUCCCAGCUGUAAACGAUGCAGGCUAGGUGUUAGAACGGCUACGUGCCGUUCUAGUGCCGCAGGGAAGCCGUUAAGCCUGCCGCCUGGGGAGUACGGCCGCAAGGCUGAAACUUAAAGGAAUUGGCGGGGGAGCACCACAAGGGGUGAAGCUUGCGGUUUAAUUGGAGUCAACGCCGGAAACCUCACCGGGGGCGACAGCAGGGUGAAGGCCAGAUUGAAGGUCUUGCCAGACAAGCUGAGAGGAGGUGCAUGGCCGUCGCCAGUUCGUGCCGUGAGGUGUCCUGUUAAGUCAGGCAACGAUCGAGACCCACGCUC
rnacentral:rRNA from 1 species